UACGAAGGGAGCGAGCGUUGUUCGGAAUCACUGGGCGUAAAGCGUGCGUAGGCGGUUUUGUAAGACAGAAGUGAAAUCCUGGAGCUUAACUCCAGAAUUGCUUUUGUGACUGCAAAGCUUGAAUCCAGGAGAGGUUGGGGGAAUUCCGAGUGUAGAGGUGAAAUUCGCAGAUAUUCGGAGGAACACCAGUGGCGUAGGCGCCCAACUGGACUGGUAUUGACGCUGAGGCACGAAAGCGUGGGGAUCAAAC
rnacentral:rRNA from 1 species